rnacentral:rRNA from 1 species
GACGAACGCUGGCGGCGUGCUUAACACAUGCAAGUCGAACGAAGAGCGAUGGAAGCUUGCUUCUAUCAAUCUUAGUGGCGAACGGGUGAGUAACGCGUAAUCAACCUGCCCUUCAGAGGGGGACAACAGUUGGAAACGACUGCUAAUACCGCAUACGAUCCAAUCUCGGCAUCGAGACUGGAUGAAAGGUGGCCUCUAUUAAUAAGCUACCACUGAAGGAGGGGAUUGCGUCUGAUUAGCUAGUUGGAGGGGUAACGGCCCACCAAGGCGAUGAUCAGUAGCCGGUCUGAGAGGAUGAACGGCCACAUUGGGACUGAGACACGGCCCAGACUCCUACGGGAGGCAGCAGUGGGGAAUCUUCCGCAAUGGACGAAAGUCUGACGGAGCAACGCCGCGUGAGUGAUGACGGCCUUCGGGUUGUAAAGCUCUGUUAAUCGGGACGAAGGUUCUUGUGCGAAUAGUGCGAGGACUGACGGUACCG